rnacentral:lncRNA from 1 species
ACAGUUCACAUUCGGACUUUUGCCGGCUUGGCUGAUUGGCUGGCUCUUUGCAAUUGCAGAGAUGCCAGAUGCGGACGUUUUUAAUUGCAAAAACUGAAAAUGGCAAUGUUGGCCUUGCUCGUUAUUUUCAAGAUGGCUGCUGACAGUCUGACAGCCACGACCUAGCCUCGACCCCAUACAUCUGACAGCCUCGACCUAAGUCAACUCAACUUACUCAACUUAUUUUCCUAGCAUUAUUCGUCAUAAAAAUGAUAACUUAGUCUACAAGUUAUACUUGGCAAUUCCACCUGAUCAUGUGGCCUGUAAGGCUGUAACUGCAGUUUCCCAAAAUGUCGUCCCUUGUUGCACGUAUCGGUUGUGCGUUUCGUCACAUGUAGAAAUAUAUUCACAACAGUAAAACAUGGUGAAGUCUGAGCUUCUUCAUUGCAGUCCAAUGCGCUGUGCAGUGCAAUUUGUUGCAGCCAGCUGGCGAAAGGUGUUCCUCUUGCAGGAUUAACAGUCUCUUGAGGUGUGAGCCUCUUUGUUAUGGUCCAAUGUGUACAUGAAUUUCGUGCAGUCAGCUAGUGAACGGUGUGGUGAGCUGUUGCAUGCAGACUGUGGUGCUGGUGUAACUGUAUUGCUUCCUGUACUGUCGUUGAGAAGUUGGUUGUGACGUUUCUCACGAUGAAAAUUAAAAGGUGAUUUAGCACAUAGAAACCAAUUUGCCAAAUCAUUCAACUCAGACUUGGGAAGUGCCUGUACAUUUCCGAAAUGGCGUGCCUCGUGUGUCUCGCUGCCUGUUCUUUGGCUUACGUCUCACCCCAUUCAACAGGAAAAAGUAAAACAAACGCUGGUGGUUACCUGGUUGCAGCCAAAUGGUGAAAGGUGCGACAAAGACAG